rnacentral:sRNA from 1 species
UUAUUUGUGGUUCGCUUUGAUCCCGAGGGGGAACCUGAAACUCUCACAUUCCUGGCAUAGCAGCCGCCUCCGGCGCGGGCCGACCCUGGGGCUGCGCGCUGGGGCGCGAACAGCCAGAGCGUCGGCGCCACGGCCGAGAACACAUCUUCGCCGCCGAGCUGAGCUGGGCCGAGCCGGAGGUUGUGGUGUCUGACUGCGCCGGGCACCCUUGGGCCGCAGAGGUGCUCGGGGGCCAGGUGUCACCGGCCAUUGUCCAGGCAGCUGUGUGCAAGCCAAAGAAGCAUGAGGACACUGGAAGACUCCUCGGGGACAGUUCUGCACCGCCUCAUCCAAGAGCAGCUGCGCUACGGCAACCUGACUGAGACGCGCACGCUGCUAGCCAUUCAGCAGCAGGCCCUGAGGGGUGGGGCUGGAACUGGGGGUACAGGGAGCCCCCAGGCCUCCCUGGAGAUCCUGGCCCCAGAGGACAGUCAGGUGUUGCAGCAGGCCACCAGGCAGGAGCCCCAGGGCCAGGAGCACCAGGGCGGAUCCUGCAGGCCCAGGUGCCCCCUGUGUUCCUCCAACAGCAGCAGCAGUA